CCUACGGGCGGCAGCAGUGAGGAAUAUUGGUCAAUGGGCGGAAGCCUGAACCAGCCAAGUAGCGUGCAGGAUGACGGCCCUACGGGUUGUAAACUGCUUUUAUACGGGAAUAACGCGCCUUACGUGUAGGGCUUUGCAUGUACCGUAUGAAUAAGGACCGGCUAAUUCCGUGCCAGCAGCCGCGGUAAUACGGAAGGUCCGGGCGUUAUCCGGAUUUAUUGGGUGUACAGGGAGCGUAGGCCGCAUGUCAAGCGUGCUGUGAAAUGUCCGGGCGCAACCCGUGCAGUGCAGCGCGAACUGGCGUGCUUGAGUGCGCGGAAGGCAGGCGGAAUUCGUGGUGGAGCGGUGAAAUGCGUAGAUAUGACGAAGAACCCCGAUUGCGAAGGCAGCUUGCUGCAGCGGAACUGACGCUGAUGCUCGAAAGCGCGGGUAGCGAACAGGAUUAGAUACCCGGGUAGUC
rnacentral:rRNA from 1 species